rnacentral:rRNA from 1 species
GACGAACGCUGGCGGCGUGCUUAACACAUGCAAGUCGAACGGAAAGGCCCCCUUGUGGGGUGCUCGAGUGGCGAACGGGUGAGUAACACGUGCGUAACCUACCCUUGACUUUGGGAUAACUUCAGGAAACUGGGGCUAAUACCGGAUAGGAGCUCCUGCUGCAUGGUGGGGGUUGGAAAGUUUCGGCGGUUGGGGAUGGACUCGCGGCUUAUCAGCUUGUUGGUGGGGUAGUGGCUCACCAAGGCUUUGACGGGUAGCCGGCCUGAGAGGGUGACCGGCCACAUUGGGACUGAGAUACGGCCCAGACUCCUACGGGAGGCAGCAGUGGGGAAUAUUGCACAAUGGGCGGAAGCCUGAUGCAGCAACGCCGCGUGCGGGAUGACGGCCUUCGGGUUGUAAACCGCUUUCGCCUGUGACGAAGCGUGAGUGACGGUAAUGGGUAAAGAAGCACCGGCUAACUACGUG